rnacentral:misc_RNA from 1 species
CUAAGGAAAAUAAAUCAUCAUCUUCAGUUUUGAAAGACUUAGAUCAAAUAAGUUUUCUUUUUAGGUAAAAAGAGUCAAAAGAGCAGGCGGUC